rnacentral:rRNA from 1 species
UACAGAGGGUGCGAGCGUUGUUCGGAAUACUGGGCGUAAAGCGCGCGCAGGACGGCUUCCUAAGUCUCGCGGUCAAAUGCCGGGGCUCAACCCCGAGCGUGCCAGGGAUACUGGGAGGCUGGAGACAGGUAGAGGCAAGCGGAAUUCCGGGUGUAGCGGUGGAAUGCGUAGAGAUCCGGAAGAACACCGGAGGCGAAGGCGGCUUGCUGGACCUGGUCUGACGCUGAGGCGCGAAAGCGUGGGGAGCGAACAGG